rnacentral:rRNA from 1 species
GGGUCAGUAGGUUGGUCGUGCCACCGGUACGUACUGGUCUCACUGAUCCCUCCUUCCUGAGGAACCGUAAUGCCAUUAAUUUGGUGUUGCGGGGAAACAGGACUGUCACUUUGAAAAAAUUAGAGUGUUUAAAGCAAGCUAACGCUUGAAUACAUUAGCAUGGAAUAAUGAAAUAGGACGAUCGAUCCUAUUUUGUUGGUUUCUAGGAUUGACGUA